rnacentral:tRNA from 1 species
ACCUGGGUGGCUUAGUCGUUUCAGCAUCUGACUUUGGCUCAGGAAUCAUCACACAGUUUGUGGGUUCGAGCCCCAUAUCAGGCU